AACGAACGCUGGCGGCAUGCCUAACACAUGCAAGUCGAACGAGAUCCUUCGGGGUCUAGUGGCGGACGGGUGAGUAACGCGUGGGGACCUGCCCAGGGGUACGGAAUAACUACGGGAAACUGUAGCUAAUACCGUAUGAUGCCGAAAGGCCAAAGAUUUAUCGCCCUUGGAUGGACCCGCGUUGGAUUAGCUAGUUGGUGAGGUAAUGGCUCACCAAGGCGACGAUCCAUAGCUGGUUUGAGAAGAUGAUCAGCCACACUGGGACUGAGACACGGCCCAGACUCCUACGGGAGGCAGCAGUGGGGAAUAUUGGACAAUGGGCGAAAGCCUGAUCCAGCAAUGCCGCGUGAGUGAAGAAGGCCUUAGGGUUGUAAAGCUCUUUCAGAUGGGAAGAUAAUGACGGUACCAUCAGAAGAAGCCCCCGGCUAACUCCGUGCCAGCAGCCGCAGUAAU
rnacentral:rRNA from 1 species